UGGAUGGUGGCACAGUCGGUUGUGCUUCGGUUUGGGCCCUUUCCGUGAUGGUUCAAUUCCAUCACCCAUCCAA
rnacentral:tRNA from 1 species